rnacentral:lncRNA from 1 species
AACAGCAUGAUCCUAAAGCCCUACUUCCACAAGGAAUCGCAGUGGCCCAUGGCCACGUGGUUCAACCAGCCAGCCCAGAAGAUCUGCAGAUGCAAGCAAAAGUAUACCACAUUGACCUGCACCCUGCAUCUGGACCCAUCUGACCCAUGGUAAGCUGCCCCACAGUGAGGUACCACACCAAAGUACAAGCUGGCAGGGGCUUCAGCUUAGAAGAGUUAAGGGUGACCAGCAUCCACAAGAGGGUGGCAUUAGUACACCAUGUCCCUGUGGGCCAAUGUUCAGCACCUGAAGGAGUUAAGACUCCAAGCUCAACCUCUUCUCCAGGAAGCUCUUAGCCCCCAAGAAGGGAGACAGUUCUGAAAAACUCAAAUCAGCCACCCAGCUGACAGGACCAAUAAUGCCCAUAUAGUACGUCUAUAAGAAGGAGAAAGCUGGAAUCAUCACUAAGAACUUUAAGGUAUUUGCCAGUCUUCACACAGCCCACAUCAAUUUUCAGCUCUUUGGCAUAUGGGCAAAAAGGGCCAAGGGAGCCACAGAACAGGAUGCUGAAAAGGAAAAAUGA